rnacentral:rRNA from 1 species
GACGAACGCUGGCGGCGUGCUUAACACAUGCAAGUCGAGCGGUAAGGCUCCUUCGGGAGUACACGAGCGGCGAACGGGUGAGUAACACGUGAGCAACCUGCCCUUCUCAUCGGAAUAAGCGUUGGAAACGACGUCUAAUGCCGAAUACGACUUCGGAAGGCAUCUUCUGAAGUGGAAAGCUCCGGCGGAGAAGGAUGGGCUCGCGGCCUAUCAGCUAGUUGGUGAGGUAACGGCCCACCAAGGCAACGACGGGUAGCCGGCUUGAGAGGGUGACCGGCCACACUGGGACUGAGACACGGCCCAGACUCCUACGGGAGGCAGCAGUGGGGAAUAUUGGACAAUGGGCGCAAGCCUGAUCCAGCAACGCCGCGUGAGGGAUGACGGCCUUCGGGUUGUAAACCUCUUUCAGCAGGGUACGAAGCGAAAGUGACGGUACCUGCAGAAGAAGGACCGGCCAACUACGUGCCAGCAGCCGCGGUAAUACGUAGGGUCCGAGCGUUGUUUGGAAUUAUUGGGCGUAAAGGGCUCGUAGGCGGUUUGUCGCGUCGGGAGUGAAAACUCAGGGCUCAACCUGAGCGUGCUUCCGAUACGGGCAGACUGGAGGUAUGCAGGGGAGAACGGAAUUCCUGGUGUAGCGGUGGAAUGCGCAGAUAUCAGGAGGAACACCGGUGGCGAGGGCGGUUCUCUGGCAUUACCUGACGCUGAGGAGCGAAA